rnacentral:rRNA from 1 species
GACGUAGGGCGCGAGCGUUGUCCGGAUUUAUUGGGCGUAAAGAGCUCGUAGGCGGCUCGUCGCGUCGACCGUGAAAACCCGCGGCUUAACUGCGGGCUUGCGGUUGAUUCGGGCGGGCUAGAGUUCGGUAGGGGAGACUGGAAUUCCUGGUGUAGCGGUGAAAUGCGCAGAUAUCAGGAGGAACACCGGUGGCGAAGGCGGGUCUCUGGGCCGAUACUGACGCUGAGGAGCGAAAGCGUGGGGAGCGAACAGG